AGGCCGUAAACCCAAGGUUUCCAGGGGAAGGUUCGUCCGCCCUGGGUUAGUCGGGACCUAAGCUGAGGCCGAAAGGCGUAGGUGAUGGACAACAGGUUGAUAUUCCUGUACUACCGAUAACCGUUUGAGAGAAGGGAUGACACAGUAGGAUAAGCUAAGCACACUGUUGGUUAUGUGUGCCCAAGCAUUGAGGCAGUCAAAGUAGGCAAAUCCGCUUUGAUAAUGCUGGGCUGUGAUGGGGAGCGAAAUUUAGUAGCGAAGUAGCUGAUUUCACACUGUCAAGAAAAGUCUCUAUCGAGGUUAAAGGUACCCGUACCGCAAACCGACACAGGUGGGUGAGGAGAGUAUCCUAAGGCCAGCGAGAGAACUGUUGUUAAGGAACUCGGCAAAAUGACCCCGUAACUUAGGGAUAAGGGGUGCCACCAUCA
rnacentral:rRNA from 1 species